GACGAACGCUGGCGGCGUGCUUAACACAUGCAAGUCGAACGGAAAGGCCCUGCUUUUGUUGGGUGCUCGAGUGGCGAACGGGUGAGUAACACGUGAGUAACCUGCCCUUGACAUUGGGAUAACUUCAGGAGACUGGGGCUAAUACCGGGUAGGAGCUCCUGCUGCAUGGUGUUGGUUGGAAAAAUUCGGCGGUUGGGGAUGGACUCGCGGCUUAUCAGCUUGUUGGUGUGGUAGUGGCUUACCAAGCCUUUGACGGGUAGGCGGCCUGAGAGGGUGACCGGCCACAUUGGGACUGAGAUACGGCCCAGACUCCUACGGGCGGCAGCAGUGGGGAAUAUUGCACAAUGGGCGGAAGCCUGAUGCAGCAACGCCGCGUGCGGGAUGACGGCCUUCGGGUUGUAAACCGCUUUCGCCUGUGAUGAAGAGUGCGUGACGGUAAUGGGUAAAGAAGCACCGGCUAACUACGUG
rnacentral:rRNA from 1 species